rnacentral:lncRNA from 1 species
AAAAAGACUCAGGAUGCAUCUUUAUCCAUUGUCCUAAGAAUACUGCUUUAUCUCUUGAAAAAGAAUCCACAGAAUGAUCAAAAGGAAACGGUUGUGGACAAACCGCUGACAUUUUUCAGCUACGUACCACACCAACUCACGACUGAUUUCUUUGCUUUCAAUGCGGGCGGUUACCCAGACCUCACAGGAACGUGUGCUGGUAUGUGUCCCUGGCAGCUGGCUGAGCACGUCAUCUGUGGCACCGUACCGCUGAAACAUGACCCGCUCAUCCCUGGUUCCAGGAGACCGCCUUGCUGCAGCGCAGGUUAGGAGCCCUGUGGAGGACAAGUCCUGUGCCGCUCUCACACUCAAAAUGGCUGCCUAUGUGGUCUGGAAAGUUCCGGGAUGCUCUUCCCAUGAGGCCAGGUGUCAGAGGCGGAGAAGGCGGGACUGGGAACGCACUUGCGCAGAGGAGACUAAAAACAGUCACGAGUGUUGGGGGGGCAGGCCAUUUGCCUCCAUAAUUUGCAGGGUUCUGGACAUAACCUCACAAGGUUUCUUCUGCAGACAUUUGGAAGACUUUGCUGAUGUUCUGUCCUUAGGGUCUGUCAGAUUCCUUCAGACUUUCUGA